rnacentral:rRNA from 1 species
AUUGAACGCUGGCGGCAGGCCUAACACAUGCAAGUCGAGCGGAUGAAGGGAGCUUGCUUCUGGAUUCAGCGGCGGACGGGUGAGUAAUGCCUAGGAAUCUGCCUGGUAGUGGGGGAUAACGUCCGGAAACGGGCGCUAAUACCGCAUACGUCCUGAGGGAGAAAGUGGGGGAUCUUCGGACCUCACGCUAUCAGAUGAGCCUAGGUCGGAUUAGCUAGUUGGUGGGGUAAAGGCCUACCAAGGCGACGAUCCGUAACUGGUCUGAGAGGAUGAUCAGUCACACUGGAACUGAGACACGGUCCAGACUCCUACGGGAGGCAGCAGUGGGGAAUAUUGGACAAUGGUCGAAAGCCUGAUCCAGCCAUGCCGCGUGUGUGAAGAAGGUCUUCGGAUUGUAAAGCACUUUAAGUUGGGAGGAAGGGCAGUAAGUUAAUACCUUGCUGGUUUGACGUUACCAACAGAAUAAGCACCGGCUAACUUCGUG